rnacentral:rRNA from 1 species
CCUACGGGGGGCAGCAGUGGGGAAUAUUGCACAAUGGGGGAAACCCUGAUGCAGCAACGCCGCGUGAGCGAUGUAGGCCUUCGGGUCGUAAAGCUCUGUCCUAAGGGAAGAAUACUGACGGUACCUUAGGAGGAAGCCCCGGCUAACUACGUGCGAGCAGCCGCGGUAAUACGUAGGGGGCUAGCGUUAUCCGGAAUUACUGGGCGUAAAGGGUGCGUAGGCGGCCCUUCAAGUCAGAGGUGAAAGGCUACGGCUAAACCGUAGUAAGCCUUUGAAACUGUAGGGCUUGAGUGCAGGAGAGGAGACUAGAACUCCCAGAGUAGUGGUGAAAUGAGUAGAUAUUGGGAGGAACACCGGUUGCGAGGGCGGCUCUCUGGACUGUAACUGACGCUGGGGCACGAAAGCGUGGGGAGCGAACAGGAUUAGAUACCAUGGUAGUC